rnacentral:rRNA from 1 species
GACUGCGUACCUUUUGUAUAAUGGGUCAGCGACUUAUAUUUUGUAGCGAGGUUAACCGAAUAGGGGAGCCGAAGGGAAACCGAGUCUUAACUGGGCGUCUAGUUGCAAGGUAUAGACCCGAAACCCGGUGAUCUAGCCAUGGGCAGGUUGAAGGUUGAGUAACAUCAACUGGAGGACCGAACCCACUAACGUUGAAAAGUUAGGGGAUGACCUGUGGCUUGGAGUGAAAGGCUAAUCAAACCGGGAGAUAGCUGGUUCUCCCCGAAAUCUAUUUAGGUAGAGCCUCGGACGAAUUCCAUUGGGGGUAGAGCACUGUUAAGGCUAGGGGGUCAUCCCGACUUACCA